CCUACGGGGUUGCAGCAGUGGGGAAUAUUGGACAAUGGGCGAAAGCCUGAUCCAGCCAUGCCGCGUGUGUGAAGAAGGCCUUCGGGUUGUAAAGCACUUUCAGUGGGGAAGAAAGCCUUGGGGCUAAUACCCUCGAGGAAGGACAUCACCCACAGAAGAAGCACCGGCUAACUCCGUGCCAGCAGCCGCGGUAAUACGGAGGGUGCGAGCGUUAAUCGGAAUUACUGGGCGUAAAGCGCGCGUAGGCGGUCUGAUAAGCCGGUUGUGAAAGCCCCGGGCUCAACCUGGGAACGGCAUCCGGAACUGUCAGGCUAGAGUGCAGGAGAGGAAGGUAGAAUUCCCGGUGUAGCGGUGAAAUGCGUAGAGAUCGGGAGGAAUACCAGUGGCGAAGGCGGCCUUCUGGACUGACACUGACGCUGAGGUGCGAAAGCGUGGGUAGCAAACAGGAUUAGAUACCCCUGUAGUC
rnacentral:rRNA from 1 species